GCUCCAAUAGCGUAUACUAAAGUUGCUGCAGUUAAAAAGCUCGUAGUUAAAGGUGCGGCUAGUGGUAGUUGGUAGACGCAUGUCUGCCAUUGCUGUAGUCGUAGUUGUGAGGGUCGGUUUCGGGUCUCACUCAGUCACUGUGAAGUAAUCCGAGUGUCCAAGCAGGCGGUUUGGCCUGAAGGGUAUAGCAUGGAAUGACG
rnacentral:rRNA from 1 species